UUGGUCUUUUGUUUUACUUAUCUUCACUUUUUGAUGUAGUAUUUCAACAUUUAAAAGAAAAGGAAAGUGAUUCAGAAAAAAAGGUAUGAUGCAAAUGUUGAUCCAACCAUUAAUGGAUGUUGCAAGAACAUGCUUUAACAAGAGAAAAGGUCUGAAGCACAUAUAAGGGAUGGGAUUGAAGCCUGUAAAUCCACGAGUCAUAUAUGAGGAACCCAACCCGGGGACUAGAGAUCCUAUAAUCAGAUUCAAUGGAAAAAAUGAAUCAUGUGAUGACUUAUUGUGAAAUGCAUUAUUUUAUUUCCCUUUCUAUGAUGUGAGUGCAUUGUUUCCUGUAGUGAAUUGUGGAGGUUGAGUUUAUAAAAACUCUUAAUGAAAAUUUGUAUCCCGUAUGGGUAGAGUGUUAAACUUACAAGAGAACUCUUAAAAAAUGUCACUUAUGUAAGUGUGGAAGUA